NUAGCAUGGCCCCUGCACAAGGAUGACACACACAUUCGUGAAGUGUUCCACAUUUUU
rnacentral:snRNA from 1 species